AUACAGCCCUGCUCUCCGUUCUUUCCGAUGAAAAAUCGGAAAGAACGGAGAGCAGGUUUAGUU
rnacentral:sRNA from 1 species